GGAGUUGACCUGACGGCUGCGCAUUUUUUUAAAUGUGAGGAAAGUCCGGGCUUCACAGGGCAGAAUAGCGGCUAACGGCCGCCGAGGGUGACCUUAGGACAAGUGCAACAGAAAUAUACCGCCGUUUUACGGUAAGGGUGGAAAGGUGGGGUAAGAGCCCACCGGUCAGGCGGGAGACCGUUUGACCCUGUAAACUCUAUUCGAAGCAACAUCAACCGGAGCAAUGCAUCGGCCCGAUGGGCUCCAAAAGAUGGCUGGAGCGUCGGAGCAAUCCGCCGCCAAGAUAGAUAGCCGUUCACGACAGAACCCGGCUUACGGUCAACUCCCAUU
rnacentral:RNase_P_RNA from 1 species